GGCGAUUGUUAAUUACGUAUCAGUCAAUUCCAGCAGUGCCCAUCCCCCCGAGGUAUUAGCCAUUUCUGGGAAGAAAAUGGCUAUGUCCACAAGCCAUUUGCAAUCAAAUUAAAUAUCAGUUUUCCAGCAAAUCUACCAAAUCCCCCAUGAUGGAAAAUGUCAAAAUCCUCACCCCAUUGCUAAAAAAUAUCGGCAAUAGCCCCACCCCCGUGAUUAGGAAAACCUGCAAAGGCCCAGGGGUGGGAACUGCUGGAAUUAAUUGAUACAUUAGAUUAUCAAAGCUAAUUUAAAAUAUGACAAUAACGGCCAACUUUUCCACCAAUACCUCAAAACUAAAUAUUCCAAUUUUCAUCGAAUGGCCAGGAAUUACAUAUUAAAUAAUAAUAACUGUUAUUGACUGCAGCAAAGGCAGUCAUUAACAUGGCCAAAAGUAGUUAAAGUACAAUUACAAGUACGAAAUAUCAUUACGUAAACAACAAUUUGGCAUUACCUUAAAAACAAAGCUAUUUAUUUCUGACCAAUGGGAAUUUUGCGUACGAAUCAUGUGCAUCAAUCCUUUUUACUGACCUCAGUAGCAGGCUUUAUUUCAAGCAUAGAGCCUGACACGCUAGUUACUUUUAAUAACCCAUUGAGUUGCAUUGCCCCCCCCCCCCCCACUUAAUUUCAAUACAUUGUUUUCACCAUUGUGUUUAUACAACCUUGCAAAUUUACUAGUAGGAAUUUCCAUUGUGUUUGCAGCCCUUACACUUUGUGUUUCAUUAUGGCAUCUUGACCUUGAAAGAGUCUAUUACUGUGGCUCCAACAUUUUCCCGUUCGGCGUUAGAAACACAAUACAUUGAUCAUAAAAUGACUGAAAUAUUACAGAUUUAAAAGCCUGACACCUAGCGGCAAAGUUUAAAUUUCACACAAGUAGUGAUGAAUGGUGAUCACUGUGGUUGUAUUUCGGUCUUGUUAGACUACACCAUGUUCUUUUGACCACCUAUCCGUAACAGGAUUAUUUGCAUCAAUAUUAUAUUAUUGUUGCGAUUUACAAAGGUUGCGGCCCGUUCCAACUUUGUAAAAUUGAAAAUUGUGAACUUUUGUCCUCUAUUUCAAGCUUGUAGCCUUCCAAGUUUGCUCACAUAAAAUGACUUUCGCUUUAUAAAGUCUGUUUCAUCGGAAAACUUUUAAGGUUCAUCCGAAAAAUAAAAAAAAAUAUGUACAAAAUCGAUGAU